rnacentral:misc_RNA from 1 species
CGCACAUUGCGCCCUUUGGCAUUCCGAAGGGCAUGCCCGUUCGAGCGUCAUUAAAUCCAAUCAAGCCUGGCUUGGUAUUGGGCGUCGGGGUCUCCCCGCGCCUCGAUUUCGCCGGCUGGCUGUUGCCCGUCUUAGCGUUGUGACUCACGUUUCGCUAGCGAUGGGACCGGACCACGCCGUUAAAACUCCACGAAUUUCAAUCGAAAUUUGAUUAAGGUUGACCUCGGAUCGGGUAGGAAUACCCGCUGAACUUAA